AAAAACAGCGAUGAUGACCUCAUUUGACUGUAUAAAUAUCUCUGCCCCCCUAAGAGUUUUAUCUGCACUUGUUCCAAGGUGUGCAGCAUUGUAUGUUGUCCCAACCUCUAGCAGUGUUUGGUAUCUUAUAUUUGUAUUGUUCUGCACCUUCAUUUCCUGUGGCAGCUCCCAUAAAAUGUGAAGAGGAUUUAGCAUUAUUUUAAGUAUCCUUAUCCUUUCUGCACAGCUGUCUAAUCCAGCCCAGGUUAGUCUAGUAUGUUCUUCCUUUCAAUGGAUAGUCAAGCUGAACAGCAGUCUCUUGAAGCAGUGACAGUCAUUUUGAUGAGAAAUGUUAACUAAGUAGAAUUUUCUUAAGAGAAAAACUAUGAUUUAAUCUUCAGCCACAGUAAUGGUACAGGUUACUGUCACCGGUUGAAUAACAGGCCUGCAGGCUCCCCUGGGACAGAGGUGUACAAUUUUCUGUUCUUGCUUCAGAUGCGAGUGCCGCUGCACUGCCACAGCCUGCGUCUCUGAGUAGGAGCAAGUGCUAGUCCAUUUUGAGUAGAGCAGACAAAAGAGCAAGCUGUAUAGGAGGGCUGUCCUUUUAAAUACUUCAACUUUUCAAGGUCAUUUGUGGAGCUUUUAUCAAUCAGAAAGCUAAAUUCAUACAAAAAGCAUCUAUAAUGAACCAAGCAUAUCUUCAACCUUAUCCCUUCAGCUGAAUACGAAUUAUCUAGGAAGGUGCUUCAGCGGCCACGUUCACUGAGUUCAGCAUCCCUGUGAACAUUAUAUAAAGUAAGCAGAGAAGCCACUA